AUAAGCAUAUCAAUAAGCGGAGGAAAAGAAACCAACAGGGAUUGCCUCAGUAACGGCGAGUGAAGCGGCAACAGCUCAAAUUUGAAAUCUGGCUCUUUCAGGGUCCGAGUUGUAAUUUGUAGAAGAUGCUUUGGGUGUGGCUCCGGUCUAAGUUCCUUGGAACAGGACGUCAUAGAGGGUGAGAAUCCCGUACGUGACUGGUUGCCUCCGCCCGUGUAAAGCUCUUUCGACGAGUCGAGUUGUUUGGGAAUGCAGCUCAAAAUGGGUGGUAAAUUUCAUCUAAAGCUAAAUAUUGGCCAGAGACCGAUAGCGCACAAGUAGAGUGAUCGAAAGAUGAAAAGCACUUUGGAAAGAGAGUUAAACAGUACGUGAAAUUGUUGAAAGGGAAGCGCUUGCAACCAGACUUGCAUGCGGUUGAUCAUCCGAGCUUCUGCCCGGUGCACUCGAUCGUAUUCAGGCCAGCAUCGGUUUUGGUGGGCGGAUAAAGGCCUUGGGAAUGUAGCUUCCUUCGGGGAGUGUUAUAGCCCUCGGUGCAAUGCGCCCUACCGGGACCGAGGACCGCGCUUCGGCUAGGAUGCUGGCGUAAUGGUUGUAAGCGACCCGUUGGAAAANCACGGAA
rnacentral:rRNA from 1 species